AUGUUAGCACAUCAAAUAUCGCCUCAGUUCCGUGUCGUCUACACGCCCUUGCUGUGUGUCUAUAAGGUUGUGAAUCACCCUGUAUAUAAAUAUCCUCUUCGUAGAAAAUGGGAUUAAAGGUUUUUAGUAAAUUACCUCAUUUUUUCGUAGGAAACAAGCGAGUUUGUUAUCCGUUUACUUUUGUUCGAAAAGUGCCGCUUUACUUUCAAUUUUUCG